rnacentral:rRNA from 1 species
CACGUAGGGCGCGAGCGUUGUCCGGAAUUAUUGGGCGUAAAGAGCUCGUAGGCGGCCUGUUGCGUCCGCUGUGAAAGCCCGGGGCUUAACCCCGGGUCGGCAGUGGAUACGGGCAGGCUAGAGGUAGGUAGGGGAGAAUGGAAUUCCCGGUGUAGCGGUGAAAUGCGCAGAUAUCAGGAGGAACACCGGUGGCGAAGGCGGGUCUCUGGGCCGAAAUUGACACUGAGGAGCGAAAGCGUGGGGAGCAAACAGG